CCCGGCCCGCGCGCCGGGAACAAAGACGCCCGCGAGCCCGUGGGGAGGACCCCCGCCCGCCGUCCGCCGCGCCUGCGCCCCGAGACCCCCGACAGGCCCGGGCGGGGACAGGGGCGCUGCGGUGGCGGGGCGCGCGCGCCGCUCGCAGUCCAGCCCGCGGUCCCCGUCCCGCAGCCGCCUCACGCGGCCACGGCCGAUCUUGUCACGCGCGGCCGCCGCGCGCCGGCCCGGCAGUCGGCCGCAGCCGCCCCGUCCCUGUCCCGCACAGGCCCGGCCGCAGCCGUGUCCUCACCCCCGCUCCUCGAGCGCCGCCCGCGAAGCCACCGGAGAGAGAGCCAUUCUCUAGAUUCGCCCCUGCAGUCUAGCUGCCCCUGUCACAGAGAACUGCCCAAACCAAAGACAUCUGAGAUCACAGUGGAGCCGGACAACCAGAUAUUGAGCCAGAGCAGAAUUAUUUAUACCACAUUUCAGAGAUGAAAAACCAAUGCAUGGAGAGACAUGUCCAAAAACACAGCUAGGAGGUGGCAGAGAUGGGAUUCAAACCCAGGCAGCCUGGCUCGAGUCAAUUCUGUGUUACCUCUCAUUUAUUUGGUGAAGUGCUGUCACAGGUUGGGUUUCUUCGGGAAGCAGAUUCUACAGAGAAAUCACUAGAGCCACGUUUGAGUCAUCUAAUUUCUGAAAGCACAUCACUUUGCUGCCUUCUAAGUUGAGAGCACUUUUGAAAAAUCAACUUUACUGAGAAAUAAUUUACCUAUAAUAAAAUGCAUCCAUUUUAAGUGUAAA